AUGCCCAGAAGUGAAACCAUUAGUAACAACAGAAUGAUUCAUUCCAAAGAUUCCAAAAAUCUGAUCCCUCAGAGGCAUAGCCUGGAGAAGUUUGUUUGCUAUGGAUGACUUUCUAGCCAGCUACUGAGAUGACUGCCAGUAAAGUACACUUGGUGGCACAUAAACCAUUAUGGUGCCAAAUAUGUAUGAAACUUAUUAUCUCCAAAAUUGUCAAAGAAGUUCUCCACCAACCUAGCAAUGUCAUGUCAUAAGAUUAUUUGAAAGGAAUGCCUAAAAAAUUGUGUGACUAGGGUCAUAAUGAAAAAAACCUGUUCAGAUUAGUAAUUGUACACGGCCUGCAUGAAAGCUGCCAAUGAAAUUCUGGGUGCUUCAUUGGCUGGUGGUGCCAAGUGGCUGUUUAAAUUCAUUCAGCAAGAGAGUGUAUUAGUCUGUGUAGCAGGCAGAUGUAGCAACAUGUGUGUGUGAAAGAACCUGUCCCUCACAAAAGCAUGAGAGAGAUGUACUUUUGGAGAGAGACUUUAAGCAACAUAAAGGGCAGAUGAGGAGCAACAGCCCACUUGUAUCUUUCAAAGCUCCUUGUUGGGCUGGUGUUUAAAGAUGGAAAUUAAUACACUUCUGAAGGCAACUGUAUGACAGAGCAGGGGUAUUUUUAAAAAAUUAAGACUGUAUUGUGAGUGUCCACACUAUGAAAUAAAUUAAGAAAAAAUGGUCUUCAUGUUAGGUAGUGGCUUGCUUUUGCUGGUGUUUUCUCUCACAAAAUAUAAUGCCUUAUCUAUGUAAGCAGGGUGACUUAGUGUUGUAGAGAUUGUUGGUGGGCAGGGAAGACAUUCCUGAACAGGGAAGGAAUAAAAGAAAGAAAGAUUUUAACUUGUUGGUUAAAGCAUCUUAGUGCACAAACACUGUUAGCAAAAAAUAUUUCGGGAUUAUCUUGAACAGGUAUCCCUCUGUAUCAAACUUGGAUAACUUCCUCUCUGGGUCUGCAUUAGCUUUUUAAAGAACCCGUUAUGAAAAAUAUACUUGCUGUUGGUUUCCUUUAAACAUCCUUUUGCUUUUUGGUGACACUGUACAAACACACACUUAGAAUCAAGUGCUAGAAAUAGCUUCCUAGAACUCAAAUUGAUUUUUAGAUAAGAAAGUAAACACGUGCAUGUGUGCAAGUCACGCAUGCAUCCAGGCAGAACUAGUUAUUUUUAUUCUUCUAGAUUAAAUUAUCUGUAAAAACAUGAGGUGCUAUUUAUUGUUACCAUGAUUUUAAUUUAAAAUGCUAACAGUGACAUGAAGUGUUGUCUCAGCUCAUUUAACAGGCUGUGAAAUGAUUAGAAGGAUCAUAGAAAUGUCUGACAAACCAACCUCAGGACUACAUGCUGCCCUUCUGCCCAGCUAAGAGAAUGGAAAGACUUUCAACUGACCUCAGCCAGCUGAAAUGAAGAAAUAAGUUACUGAGCCUCCAAUAAGUGCUCAGAAAGUGAAUGCAAUGGAGGACCAAAGCAGAAGCAGGAGCAAGAAUGUGAGAAGACAGACCUUGCAGAAACAUGUUCCUAAUGUACUGGAAAAUUGGAAAUUGAACCAGCUGAAGAGCAGCACAUUUUACUUCCCACAAAUGUUGACAACCCCGUGCAAAGCAAUGAGGAUCUGUGCUUCUGACCAUCACCUAUCAAGGAGGAAUUCAGAGACGAAAGUCAAAAAAUUAGGGAUGAGGAAUGGAUGGGAGACACUAUUUAGCUCAUUUGUUUCAUCUGCCGACGACAAACAGAGCUGAAAAACUGGUAGCAGAAGAGAGAUAUGACUCCCAUUCCUCUCCAAUCAAUCUAGUGAAUAAUUAAUGCACUUUUUCUCAGUACAUAACAGUAUACUUUUAACAAUACGUGCUACUAGUGUAGCUAUUGAAGUACCAUCAUAUUAAAAUGCAUAAUUAGAUUAA